CUGAUGCUCGAAAGUGUGGGUAUCAAACAGGAUUAGAUACCCUGGUAGUCCACACAGUAAACGAUGAAUACUCGCUGUUUGCGAUAUACAGUAAGCGGCCAAGCGAAAGCGUUAAGUAUUCCACCUGGGGAGUACGCCGGCAACGGUGAAACUCAAAGGAAUUGACGGGGGCCCGCACAAGCGGAGGAACAUGUGGUUUAAUUCGAUGAUACGCGAGGAACCUUACCCGGGCUUAAAUUGCAUUUGAAUAUAUUGGAAACAGUAUAGCCGUAAGGCAAAUGUGAAGGUGCUGCAUGGUUGUCGUCAGCUCGUGCCGUGAGGUGUCGGCUUAAGUGCCAUAACGAGCGCAACCCUUAUCUUUAGUUACUAACAGGUCAUGCUGAGGACUCUAGAGAGACUGCCGUCGUAAGAUGUGAGGAAGGUGGGGAUGACGUCAAAUCAGCACGGCCCUUACGUCCGGGGCUACACACGUGUUACAAUGGGGGGUACAGAAGGCAGCUACCUGGUGACAGGAUGCUAAUCCCAAAAGCCUCUCUCAGUUCGGAUCGAAGUCUGCAACCCGACUUCGUGAAGCUGGAUUCGCUAGUAAUCGCGCAUCAGCCAUGGCGCGGUGAAUACGUUCCCGGGCCUUGUACACACCGCCCGUCAAGCCAUGAAAGCCGGGGGUACCUGAAGUACGUAACCGCAAGGAGCGUCCUAGGGUAAAACUGGUAAUUGGGGCUAAGUCGUAACAAGGUAGCCGUACCGGAAGGUGCGGCUG
rnacentral:rRNA from 1 species